rnacentral:lncRNA from 1 species
UAAGUUGGUCCCAUCUGAGCUUGCCUGUUAUUGAACUUUAACAGUGACAGAUUUGAAACUGCAUUUUCAUUUUAAAACAGAUCUCCAAGAUGUUCUCCUUUACAGAAGAGAACUGCCAAGUACUGGAUAAAUCACUUGAAAAGAAUACCACUAAUUCAAGGAGAGAAACCAACAAAAUAGAAAUAUCUAAUCAGAAAGGAGUUUCUCUAUCCUGUGACUUUCAGUAUGAUCUCUGUACUGUCACUCUGGCUGGGUGGCACCACGGUGAACAAGUGCAGUCUUGUACCGAAGAAAGAGAAGUCAUGUCCAAUUACAGGCAAGCAAAACAUCUGCAAAGUGUUUUUUGAAGAACCACAUUCACUUCUUAGGAACUGCUUCAAAGUUGUAAGUAGAACUUCAGCUGUGAAGGAGUGUCUGAAUCACCCAAGUGUCAUUCUUCAAAGGAGGACACAUAACCCCUGCAAGGAUGUAGAAGUUUGGUCAUGGAUUACUUUAGAAUAAUCAGAACAGCAAUCCAGACAGAAAA